GGCUCCGAUGGCCUAGUGGUUACAGCGUCCGUCUCGUAUGUGGGAGGUCGCAGGUUCGAUCCCAGGCUGAGUCA